UGCCAGACUCCUACGGGAGGCAGCAGUGGGGAAUAUUGCACAAUGGGGGAAACCCUGAUGCAGCGACGCCGCGUGAGUGAAGAAGUAUUUCGGUACGUAAAGCUCUGUCAGCAGGGAAGAAAAUGACGGUACCUGAUUAAGAAGCCCCGGCUAACUACGUGCCAGCAGCCGCGGUAAUACGUAGGGGGCAAGCGUUAUCCGGAUUUACUGGGUGUAAAGGGUGUGUAGGUGGCAUGGCAAGUCAGAAGUGAAAGCCCGGGGCUCAACCCCGCGGACUGCUUUUGAAACUGUCAGGCUGGAGUACAGGGGAGGUAAGCGGAAUUCCUAGUGUAGCGGUGAAAUGCGUAGAUAUUAGGAGGAACACCAGUGGCGAAGGCGGCUUACUGGACUGUAACUGACACUGAGGCACGAAAGCGUGGGGAGCAAACAGGAUUAGAUACCCGAGUA
rnacentral:rRNA from 1 species